rnacentral:rRNA from 1 species
AGAUCGAACUAUAGAGUUUGAUCCUGGCUCAGAUUGAACGCUGGCGGCAUGCUUUACACAUGCAAGUCGAACGGUAACAGGUCUUCGGAUGCUGACGAGUGGCGAACGGGUGAGUAAUGCAUCGGAACGUGCCCAGUCGUGGGGGAUAACGCAGCGAAAGCUGUGCUAAUACCGCAUACGAUCUAUGGAUGAAAGCGGGGGAUCGCAAGACCUCGCGCGAUUGGAGCGGCCGAUGUCAGAUUAGCUAGUUGGUGGGGUAAAGGCCCACCAAGGCGACGAUCUGUAGCUGGUCUGAGAGGACGACCAGCCACACUGGGACUGAGACACGGCCCAGACUCCUACGGGAGGCAGCAGUGGGGAAUUUUGGACAAUGGGCGCAAGCCUGAUCCAGCAAUGCCGCGUGCAGGAAGAAGGCCUUCGGGUUGUAAACUGCUUUUGUACGGAACG